rnacentral:rRNA from 1 species
GACGAACGCUGGCGGCGUGCCUAAUACAUGCAAGUAGAACGCUGAAGCUUGGUGCUUGCACCGAGCGGAUGAGUUGCGAACGGGUGAGUAACGCGUAGGUAACCUGCCUGGUAGCGGGGGAUAACUAUUGGAAACGAUAGCUAAUACCGCAUAAGAGUAGAUGUUGCAUGACAUUUGCUUAAAAGGUGCAAUUGCAUCACUACCAGAUGGACCCGCGUUGUAUUAGCUAGUUGGUGAGGUAACGGCUCACCAAGGCAACGAUACAUAGCCGACCUGAGAGGGUGAUCGGCCACACUGGGACUGAGACACGGCCCAGACUCCUACGGGAGGCAGCAGUAGGGAAUCUUCGGCAAUGGACGGAAGUCUGACCGAGCAACGCCGCGUGAGUGAAGAAGGUUUUCGGAUCGUAAAGCUCUGUUGUAAGAGAAGAACGAGUGUGAGAGUGGAAAGUUCACACUGUGACGGUAUCUUACCAGAAAGGGACGGCUAACUACGUG